GCAAUCUACCUUUCACAGAGGGAUAGCCCAGAGAAAUUUGGAUUAAUACCUCAUAGCAUUACGGGAUGGCAUCAUCCUGUAAUUAAAGUCACAACGGUGAAAGAUGAGCAUGCGUCCCAUUAGCUAGUUGGUAAGGUAACGGCUUACCAAGGCAACGAUGGGUAGGGGUCCUGAGAGGGAGAUCC
rnacentral:rRNA from 1 species